rnacentral:rRNA from 1 species
GACGAACGCUGGCGGCGUGCCUAAUACAUGCAAGUAGGACGCAGUUGCGAACGGGUGAGUAACGCGUAGGUAACUGCCUAUUAGAGGGGGAUAACUAUUGGAAACGAUAGCUAAUACCGCAUACUAGUAGAUGGACCUGCGUUGUAUUAGCUAGUAGGUAGGGUAAUGGCCUACCUAGGCGACGAUAGAUAGCCGACCUGAGAGGAUGAUCGGCCAACCGGGGACUGAGACAAGGCCCAGACUCCGACGGGAGGCAGCAGUAGGGAAUCUUCGGCAAUGGGGGGAAGGCUGACCGCGCAACGCCGCGUGAGUGAGGAAGGUUUUCGGAUCGUAAAGCUCUGUUGUUAAGGAAGCGGUACUUAAACAGAAAGGGACGGCUAACUACGUGCCAGCAGCCGCGGUAAUAC